rnacentral:rRNA from 1 species
AGGACGAACGCUGGCGGCGUGCUUAACACAUGCAAGUCGAGCGGAAAGGCCCUUCGGGGUACUCGAGCGGCGAACGGGUGAGUAACACGUGAGCAAUCUGCCCUUAGCUUCGGGAUAGCCCCGGGAAACCGGGAUUAAUACCGAAUAUGACCUCGGCCGACAUCGGCUUUGGUGGAAAGUUUUUCGGCUAGGGAUGAACUCGCGGCCUAUCAGCUUGUUGGUGGGGUAAUGGCCUACCAAGGCGACGACGGGUAGCCGGCCUGAGAGGGCGACCGGCCAACGACUGGGACUGAGACACGGCCCAGACUCCUACGGGAGGCAGCAGUGGGGAAUAUUGCGCAAUGGGCGAAAGCCUGACGCAGCGACGCCGCGUGGGGGAUGAAGGCCUUCGGGUUGUAACCCUUUCAGCAGGGACGAAGCGAGAGUGACGGUACCUGCAGAAGAAGCGCCGGCUAACUACGUGCCAGCAGCCGC